rnacentral:rRNA from 1 species
AGAGCGAACGCUGGCGGCAUGCUUAACACAUGCAAGUCGCACGGGCAGGGGAAACCCUGUCAGUGGCGGACGGGUGAGUAACGCGUAGGUAUCUAUCCUUGGGUGGGGGACAACUGUGGGAAACUACAGCUAAUACCGCAUGAUGACCGAGGUCCAAAGGCCGCAAGGCCGCCUGGGGAGGAGCCUGCGUACGAUUAGCUAGUUGGUGGGGUAACUGCCUACCAAGGCGACGAUCGUUAGCUGGUCUGAGAGGAUGAUCAGCCACAUUGGGACUGAGACACGGCCCAAACUCCUACGGGAGGCAGCAGUGGGGAAUAUUGGACAAUGGGCGCAAGCCUGAUCCAGCAAUGCCGCGUGGGUGAAGAAGGUCUUCGGAUUGUAAAGCCCUUUCGACGGGGACGAUGAUGACGGUACCCGUAGAAGAAGCCCCGGCUAACUCGUGCCAGCAGCCGC